rnacentral:SRP_RNA from 1 species
UCGCACUAGUUGGGGAGAUAGCGGUGCCCUGUCACCUGCAAACCGCUACAGCAGGGAUGAAUCCCGGUACUCGGGUCUAUGGUGUGUUGUCAGCCCUUGAUAAGCAGCGUUGACGAGCCGGUCUCGCGCAACGUGAAUUUGUGAACCAUGUCAGGCGGGGAACCGAGCAGCAUUAAACAAAACCUCAUGUGUGCCGCGAGGAAGCCGGUUUUGAGCCGGCUGUCAGGUUAGCGGGCAUAUCAUAUUUUCAAAGACCGGUGUGCGA